rnacentral:rRNA from 1 species
GUCUACAGCCAUACCACCCUGAAUGCACCUGAUCUCAUCUGAUCUCAGAAGCUCAGCAGAGUCAGGCCUGGUUAGUACUUGGAUGGGAGAAUCACUAACCCAGAUGAUUCCUGCC